GGUAAAUGGGGGCUUAAGGGGGCAAUUGGGGGGGUAAAUGGAGGCCUAUGGGGGCAAAUGGGGGGUAAAUGGGGCCCUAGGGGGGCAAUUGGGGGGGUAAAUAAGGGCCUAUGGGGGCAAUUGAGGGUAAAUGGGGGCCUAUGGGGGGGUAAAUGGGGGGGGGCAAUUGGGGUCGUGACCCCCUGUGACCCUUUGACCCCCCUGGAGGAGCUGCUGUUGGCUCUGCUGGUUGCCGGGGUAACAGCCACGCCCUUCGUGGAGGAGCCGACCAAUGGGAGCGCGGCGCUGGGCGGGGAGGCGGAGCUCCGCUGUGCCGUGCGGGGGGGCGUGGCCGCGCAGUGGGCGAGGGACGGGCUCCUCCUCGGGGCCCCGCCCACCGCCGCCCACCCGCGAUACCGAUUGGCUGGAGACCAGACACGAGGUGGGCGGGGCUUAAACAGGGGGUGGGGCUUAAAGAGGGGGGCGUGGCUUAAUGUGGGGGCGUGGGCGAGGGACGGGCUCCUCCUCGGAGCCCCGCCCACCGCCGCUCACCCUCGCUACCGAUUGGCUGGAGACCAGACACGAGGUGGGCGGGGCUUAAACAGGGGGUGGGGCUUGAACAGGGGGCGGGGCUUAAUGAGGGGGCGUGGGCGAGGGACGGGCUCCUCCUGGGAGCCCCGCCCACCGCCGCCCACCCCCGAUACCGAUUGGCUGGAGACCCACAACGAGGUGGGCGGGGCUUAAACAGGGGGCGUGGUUAAGGGAGGGGGCGUGGUUUAACGAGGGGGCGUGGCCGCGCAGUGGGCGAGGGAUGGGCUCCUCGGGGCCCCGCCCACCGCCGCCCACCCCCGAUACCGAUUGGCUGGAGACCCAAACCGAGGUGGGCGGGGCUUAAACAGGGGCGGGGCUUAAGGAGGGGGCGUGGUCUGAUGAGGGGGCGUGGCCUCGUCAGGGCAGUACCACCUCCGCAUCCGGGGGGUGCAGCUGGAGGACGAUGCCACCUUCGAGUGCCAAGCGGGGGGGGGCAACGGGAGCAGCCCCCCCCGAGCGUCCAGACCCGUCCAGCUGCGGGUGAUGGGUAUGGGAUGGGAUGGGGAUAAUGGGGAUGGGAUAACGGGGAUGGGAUAACUGGGAUGGGAUAACAGGAAUGGGAUGGGGAUGGGGAUGGGAUAAUGGGGAUGGGGAUAAUGGGAAUGGGGUAAUGGGAAUGGGGAUAAUGGGAACGGGGAUAAUGGGAAUGGGGUAAUGGGGAUGGGAUAAUGGGAAUGGGGAUAAUGGGGAUGGGGAUAAUUGGAAUGGGAUAAUGGGAAUGGAUAAUGGGAAUGGGAUAAUGGGGAUGGGAUAAUGGGAAUGGGAUAAUGGGAAUGGGAUAAUGGGGAUGGGGUAAUGGGAAUGGGAUAAUGGGAAUGGGAUAAUGGGGAUGGGGUAAUGGGAAUGGGGAUAACGGGAAUGGGAUAAUGGGGAUGGGGUAAUGGGGAUGGGAUAAUGGGAAUGGGGUAAUGGGGAUGGGAUAAUGGGAAUGGGGUAACGGGAAUGGGAUAAUGGGAAUGGGGAUAAUGGGGAUGGGGUAAUGGGGAUAAUGGGAGUGGGAUAACGGGCAUGGGAUAAUGGGAAUGGGGUAAUGGGGAUGGGGUAAUGGGAAUGGGGAUAAUGGGGAUGGGGUAAUGGGGAUAAUGGGAGUGGGAUAACGGGCAUGGGAUAAUGGGAAUGGGGUAAUGGGGAUGGGGUAAUGGGAAUGGGGAUAAUGGGAAUGGGGUAAUGGGGAUGGGGUAAUGGGGAUAAUGGGAGUGGGAUAACGGGCAUGGGAUAAUGGGAAUGGGGUAAUGGGGAUGGGGUAAUGGGAAUGGGGAUAAUGGGGAUGGGGUAAUGGGAAUGGGGUAAUGGGAAUGGGAUAAUGGGGAUGGGGUAAUGGGAAUGGGGUAAUGGGAAUGGGGUAAUGGGAAUGGGGUAAUGGGAAUGGGAUAAUGAGGAUGGGGUAAUGGGAAUGGGGUAAUGGGGAUGGUAUAAUGGGGAUGGGAUAACGGGAGUGGGAUAACGGGGAUGGGAUAAUGGGAAUGGGAUAAUGGGAAUGGGGUAAUGGGAAUGGGAUAAUGGGGAUGGGAUAACGGGAGUGGGGAUAAUGGGAAUGGGAUAAUGGGAAUGGGAUAAUGGAGAUGGGGUAAUGGGAAUGGGGAUAAUGGGAAUGGGAUAAUGGGAAUGGGUAACGGGAAUGGGAUAACGGGGAUGGGAUAAUGGGAAUGGGGAUAAUGGGGAUGGGGUAAUGGGAAUGGGAUAAUGGGAAUGGGGAUAAUGGGGAUGGGGUAAUGGGAAUGGGGUAAUGGGGAUGGGAUAAUGGGAUAAUGGGAAUGGGGUAAUGGGAAUGGGGUAAUGGGAAUGGGAUAAUGGGAAUGGGGAUAAUGGGGAUGGGGAUAAUGGGGAUGGGGAUAAUGGGAAUGGGGUAAUGGGAAUGGGGUAAUGGGGAUGGGGAUAAUGGGGAUGGGGAUAAUGGGGAUGGGGAUAAUGGGAAUGGGGUAAUGGGAAUGGGAUAAUGGGAGUGGGAUAACGGGGAUGGGGUAAUGGGAAUGGGGUAAUGGGAAUGGGAUAAUGGGAAUGGGAUAAUGGGAAUGGGGUAACGGGGAUGGGAUAACGGGGAUGGGAUAACGGGAAUGGGAUAAUGGGAAUGGGAUAACGGGGAUGGGGUAACGGGGAUGGGGUAAUGGGAAUGGGGUAAUGGGAAUGGGAUAAUGGGAAUGGGAUAAUGGGAAUGGGGUAACGGGGAUGGGAUAACGGGGAUGGGAUAACGGGGAUGGGAUAAUGGGAAUGGGAUAAUGGGAAUGGGGUAACGGGGAUGGGGUAAUGGGAAUGGGAUAAUGGGGAUGGGAUAACGGGGAUGGGGUAAUGGGAAUGGGGUAACGGGGAUGGGGUAAUGGGAAUGGGAUAAUGGGAAUGGGAUAAUGGGGAUGGGAUAACGGGGAUGGGGUAAUGGGAAUGGGGUAACGGGAAUGGGAUAACGGGAGUGGGAUGAGAUGGGGAUGGGGAUGGGAAUGGGAUGGGGAUGGGGUCUCUAUAGGUCUCUAUGGGUCUCUAUAGGGUCACUAUAGGGUCUCUAUACUUUUCUAUGGAAUCUCUAUAGGUCUUUAUAGGUUUCUAUAGGGUGUCUAUAGGUCUCUAUAGGUUGCUAUAGGGUCUC
ensembl:lncRNA